UCAUCUUAACACAUUCAAGGUCCCUUUAGGGUUUGGUCAAGUUUUGUUUCUCUUAUUCCUGGAGUAUAGCUCUUUGAAGAAGUAAUGCUAUGUGACUUCUGAGGUAAUGUCAUAAAAGGUAAUAUAGUUUCUGUCUUGUUUGCUGGAGCUCUGAGCUGCAUUGUAAGAAGAUCCACUAUCUGAAGCUGUCCAUUAUGAGAGAGCAUUAAGUCAAGUGUUGAAAUCACAUAUAAGUACUAUAGUCAAGAGUUGCAUAUGAAUUUAGAGUGUGAAUCAUCUUAGCAUAGGCAGCAGAUACAUGAAUAAAGAAAUCUGUAGAUGACUUCUGCCUCCAGCCAUUAAGUAACUCCCACCGUUUAGGACUUCCUAGCUGAGGCCUCAGAUACAGUAGAGAAGAGACAAAUACUAAUUGAUAUUCCCUGACUGAAUUCCUGACCCAUGGAAUCUUUGAGCAUGAUAAAAUGGUUGUUUCAUGCCACUAAGUUUAGAAGUUGUUUAUUACACAGCUAUAGUAAGAAGAAUGAGUAUUUUGGAGGUUUCAGAGCAUGAGGAAAUGAAAAUAAAUGUUUAAGUAUAAGACUGGAAAGAGGAAAAAAACAAAGCUGUCAUUUUUCCUUGGAUAAUAUACCGUGUAAAUAGAAAAUACAAAAUAUAUACAGAUAAAUUAUUAAUAUUAAUAUUUAAGUUUAGCAAAGUUUACAGAUACAAAGUCACUAUACAAAAAUCAAUUGUAUUUUAUAUUUCAGUUACAAACAUUCCAAAUUUUUAAAGGAAAUAUGAAGGAUCACCAAAAGGACACUUAAUGAAGAAGAUCAAAAUAGAAGAACUUGCUGUAUCGGUUUUUUAGAUAUUAAAAUUGAUAUUAAUUAAGAUAGCAUGGUAUUGGCACAAGGAUAGACAGACAAAAGAAACAGAGUAGAGCUACUAGAAACAGACCCAUGCAUGUAUGAUCACUUAUCUUUGACAAAAGCGGCAUUGUAAAACAGUGGGAAAAGAAUUUUUUUCUCCUGUUCAUAGUGUUACAAUCAUUUGAUAUCUAUUUGGAAAAAAAUUAAUUUGAUCUAUAUCUCAAAUGUUAUAUGAAAAUCAGUUCUCGGUGGAUUGCAACUCUAAAAGUAAAAACACCAUAAUAAAGCUUUUCAUAAAUGAAUAUGAGAACACCUUCAUGCCCUCAGGGUCUGAGAGGACUUCUUAAAUAAUUGACAUAAAGAUAAUCGUAAAUCCAACUAACCAUAAAGGAAGAGAUUGAUAUCGUUAAGUAACUUAAAAUUGAACUAUUAUUUAUAAAACGACACCGUUAAGCUGGAAGAAGUUAUUUACAACACAUAUAAGGGAUGCAAGGCUGCUAUUUGGGAUAGAGAAAAAGGAAGUCAAACAAUUUUAAAAAUAGGCAAAAGUGCUGAACAGAUACUCCAAAAAAUAAGAUAUAAAAAAGAUAAUAAAUAUAUGAAAAGGUACACAACUUCUCAGUAAUCAGGAAAAUGCACAUUAAAAUCACAAUGUUAACCAUUCCCCACUAAUAGGAGAGCUAAAAGAGAAACACAGGAUCCAGAAUGCGAACCCCAUACUACCCUAUGCAAUGCCGGUCAUACCAUACCUGGAACAUGACAUUCAGUUCUGGGGACCACCCUUUGUAGAAAAGAGAAAUUGACAAACUAUAGCAUAUUUAGAGGACAGACCUCUAGAUAUCUAUCACAGAAUAUUAAGAAUGGUCAAAUAAUUGGAGAUAUUAACAUGGAGAAGUCCUUGUGUGAUAUAGGCUUUCACAAGAUUAGAGAUGAAUUUAUAACUGGAAAUUAUUAGUAUCAAAAAAACAUAAAAGGAAACACUUUUCAACUCAACCUCAGACAAAUAUUUCUAAAGUUUUGAGCUGACUAUAAAAUGGAAUUGGAAUGCUUCAGGAAUUCUGAAUUCACUGUAACUGGAGGUGUUGACAAACAAUGCCUUGGCAACAAUUUGAUGGUCUCAAAGCAGGCCUUUCUUUAGAAGAAAUAAUGUCUGGAAAAAUCACCCUCCACCCUAACCCCAUUACAUUUCUUCUAACGAUAAAUGAGUUAUCUUCACACGGUGAUUCACUACUCUUCUGAAAUCAGUGAUAAAUAAUAGGCCAGUAACACUUCCUGCAAGUAUCAAAAUAUUUUUAAAAAUAGUUGUUUCUCUUGCCUGGAGUUCCAUUGUUCUCUGAGACACUUUCUUGUUACUACUCAGGGACAAUGGAUGAAAUGACAUUCCACUCUUCUGCUGGAAUUCUGUAGAGCUGAUAAAAUUUUGUCUUGCUUUUCCCAAGUACAGAAUAUUUAUUUUCCUUAGGUGUGGGGCGCCCUCCAGUGGCUACAACUCUGGCCGUACUGCCUUGGGUUAAAUAACCCUGGACCCAACCAACCAAGACAACUGCUGGCACCAAGUCCUAAAGUUGUGUUCUGCUGAUGUACAAGUAGCAGGGGACUAAGCUCAGAAACCCUAGGUAUAACACUCUGUUAUUUAACCUACUCUAUCUCCUAUGCAGAUAUUGCCCUUAGGGUGGGACUUAGAAAGAACAUUUAAGUCUUCCAAAGUGCAGGGCUUUUUUUGUUUUUCAGGUUUUUGAUUUACAUAGUUUUAUGUUAAUAUGUUGUCUAUUAAUAGAAGAAAAAUGUCAUAUUCUUACUCUCUCAUCUGCCAGAGCAGGCAGAAGGGUGGGGACCAGGGUUUUACUGAAUAACAUUGUUGGUUGUCCUAUUCAAAAAUCAAGGCUCUUUACCAUCAAAAGCCCAGGCACUCUUAUUCUGGAAACAACAUUCCACAGUGUAUCAAAAUACAAAAAUUCAAAUGUACCUACCCUCUUACUUCAUAUAAAUAUUAAGUAAAAAUAUUAUUCAAAUUUUAUAACUUUGUUUUUAAAUUUAAAAUUAUUUGGCACCAAGCAGUUGAUUAAAUUAUACUUGAUACAGUUAUUUCUCUGCAGACAUUAUAUAUACUUGGGAAUUCUGCUGAUGUAGGAAAAAAAAUCUAAACUCCAAAUUAUUUUCAAAUGAAAUGAACUUUUGUGAAUAUUAAAUUUAAUAUUUAAAAAAGUUGAUGUGGUAAUGUUUUAUAGAUUUCAAUAUUUCCCAAUUUUGAUUUUCUAGUCUUUCUGUAAAUAAUGUUUACUUAUUAGGGUAAAUAAUGUUUUUACUUUCUCAAAAGUUUAAAAAUAGGAAAAAUUUCUGCUCUGGCGAUGGUGAACUAGGUGCUCUGAACAAUCCUAAAGGGAAUUAAAUGUUAGAAGACACUUAACAAAAUCUUAAAAACAUCAAAGACCUAGAUGAGAAAGUGAGGAAUUACCAGGGUAAGAAAAUAGGAUAAAUUAUAACUUCAAAGAGCUCAGUGAUUAGUUAGCACUACUUUUGCCCAGGGGGGAAUUUGUUGAGCAAGAAAAUAAAGCUUCUAGGCAGAUCUUCUCUUUCAGCAUAGGAAAUAAAGAUAAACCACCUGGAGACACCCAAUCCUGAGUGGGGUGAGAGAGCAAUCUCCAUUUGAGAAAGGGAAGAGCUGUUCUGAAGAAAAAAGUUAUCAGUUUAGGAAAGAAGGUGGAAAGAACAUUCAGAGAAAAGGCUGUGUGAGAGUUUUUUCAUCAUUAAAGCAGAACCUCUAGUGAAUAGGGCAAUAUGGAUUGGGAGGAAGGAAGCAUGGGGACUAAAACCUGAGGUACAAUUUUUUUUUGGUCUGCAAUCACUUCCUCCAUUUUUGAGUUUGCCAGUCAGUCAUUAGGCCUCCUGAGAAUUCUCAUGGAAGCAGGAUUCCCUAAGUUACCAAAAAGCAAAACUCAAAAAGAAAACCAAUCUGCUGUAUUUGAGCUUAGGGAAACCUGAAACUUUUCCUAAACCUUUCAGGGCAGCGCUCAGUCCUUCAAGGCCAAUUCGUGCCACCAGUUAACAUCAGAAUAAUCACUACAUGAUAAGAGUCUUAAAAUGCACAAGGCUUUGAGAACUUAGUCUUUCUUACUGGUGUCUUGAUUCCACGUAGAACUUCCUCUGUCAAGGAAGACGUCUUCUUAUUUUCAUAAAUUUCUGAGAAGGAAGUUACACGCAGAACCACAGAACUUUUAAUCUCUGUGGGAAAAAGUCCUCCAUUGUAAUCAUUUAAUUCGAUGCUCCCUCUUUCUUUUUCUUUCUCCUUUCCCUCUUCUCAGGGAGGUAAUAGUCAAAAAUAAAUGUUUCAACAGAUCUCGCGGUGCCAUUCGAGAUUCCCGAUUGAAAAAAAAAAAAAAAAAAAAAGAGAGAGAGAGAAAUGAUGCAAAGGAGCCUGUGCCUUCCGGGGUUU
rnacentral:lncRNA from 1 species